GACGAACGCUGGCGGCGUGCUUAACACAUGCAAGUCGAACGGAAAGGCCCUGCUGUUGUGGGGUGCUCGAGUGGCGAACGGGUGAGUAACACGGGAGUAACCUGCCCUUGGGUUUGGGAUAACUUCAGGAAACUGGGGCUAAUACCGGAUAGGAGCUCCUGCUGCACGGUGGGGGUUGGAAAGUUUCGGCGGUUGGGGAUGGACUCGCGGCUUAUCAGCUUGUUGGUGGGGUAGUGGCUUACCAAGGCUUUGACGGGUAGCCGGCCUGAGAGGGUGACCGGCCACAUUGGGACUGAGAUACGGCCCAGACUCCUCCGGGAGGCAGCAGUGGGGAAUAUUGCACAAUGGGCGGAAGCCUGAUGCAGCAACGCCGCGUGCGGGAUGACGGCCUUCGGGUUGUAAACCGCUUUCGCCUGUGACGAAGCGUGAGUGACGGUAAUGGGUGAAGAAGCACCGGCUAACUACGUG
rnacentral:rRNA from 1 species